rnacentral:lncRNA from 1 species
AGGAUAUAUAAAAUUGAAAGAACAAUUAUACUGCAAAAAACUAGAAUUUUUUUUUUGACAUUAAUUCAAUCAAAAAUGUCUGCCAUUUUGAUGCUAAAUUUUUGUUUUUAUCUCUUUCUUUUUCUUUCCAGUCCUUUAUUCUUUUUAUUAAUUAUUGCAUUUCUGCAAUAUCAUUCCAUUACAUUUUGUUUUGGUUUAGUUUAUGGUGAGUUAUCCUGUUUAUCAUUUUUAUGCAUCUUUAUGUUGGUGAAAUGUUUUUCUUUAGUAUUUUUACACACAUUGAGAAUAAUCAGAUAUUACUGUUAGAUUUUUUUAAGGUCAUAUUAUGUGCUAGUGUAUUUACUGACAUCAUAUCAUGUGUGCCCUGAAGGUAUUAACUGUUAAUUGUCAAGGUUUAGGAGAUAGUGUUAAAAGAAGAGAUGUUUUUAACUAUUUAAGAACAAAGAAUUACAAUAUUUACUGUUUACAAGAUACUCAUUUCUUAUGUGAAAAUGAAAAUAAUAUAAGAGCUAUGUGGGGAUAUGAUAGUUAUUUUUCAUCUUAUAGCUCAAAUUCAAG